UAAGAACAUUGAAUUUCAGUUCUAAGCUGUCAUCAUGAUUGAAUGCUCUACUGCUGUGUGUCUUCAGUAAAGCAUUGCUGUCAAGAAUACUGGACAAAUACAAGAAUCCAUUUUCAGCUGCAUGUUGGCUUUGCAAAGAACAGGUGAAAUAUAUGAAAUAAUUUAAAGUCCAAGAAAACCUCUCCAUCCGCCUAUGGAGAAUCUGCAGAUGUGAAGAAACAGGAAGAGAGGAAUCUUCUGAGAGCUGACAGGCAUCUUUCCCAUCUACAGCAUCCCAUUUAGGACUCCCAGAGUCUGGAUGUUAAUCCAGCAGUAUUGCCUGGAUUAAAGCAUCUGUAGCACAGGGCACACAAUUCUGACCAGUUCAGUCCGCAGCAGGAUCCUUCAAAGGCACUGCAGAAGGAUUCAGUCAUGUAAAUUCCACAUUUGGAUUUCAGAAAAAAAAGGAAAAAAAAAAACCCAAGAAAACACAACAAAACAAAACCCCAGCAAAACAAAACCCAGCCAAAUGCAGAAGAGGGAAAGCGACUCUGAUUUUCCCAUAAUUUACUUUGCUUUCCUUGAAUUCAGAUUGUUUUAAUGCUUUAGGGUUUUAUAGCAGCCUAAAAAUAAGCUUCCUAUUUGAAAUACUUUGCAAAUCAAAACAGUGCCUAAAUUCUGUUAAUUUAGUGACUUAGCAGCAACAUUACAGUGCAUGUCAAAUAAUGCUUUAAUGAUUAGAUGUAUACAAAAAAAAAUCUUAAAUUGGCCAUCCGUGAGGUGGGAUUAUCAACACUGAAAAAGAUUUCUUCUUCAUUUGCAAUGAGCUGCAACUUCCCAGCAGCUGUCACAGUGCUCUAGUAGCAGUGUGCAAGUGUCUGGUUAGUGUACAGUGCUGGGCAAGUGGCACUUACUAUCUCCAAAUAAAUGGGAUAGUCUUUGUUGUGUAUUUCAGCUGUCUGAAGUCAAGCAAGAUGGAAGAAAUUGAAGAGAUACAGAAAAGCUAGUGUAAAUGUUUAAACAUUUCUGGCAAAAUUUCCACAGACAGAAAUUAACACUAUAAACUUGCUCUAGCUAAAAAAGAGAUCACCAAUCCUGAUGAUUUUAUUAUCUGGACAUAACAAAAAACAAUAAAAGCUCUACUGCUCACUUCCAUUUGCUGUGGCCCAGAGCAGAAGAAUAACAGAGCAUUGCUAUUUGAGCACAAUUGUUGAGAAAAAUGAGUACUGCAAAAUCAACUGGGAUGCAACAUUUUGGAUUAAAUGGACAGAGCAAGUGGGUGAAACUCCACCAUUCUGGUUCACUCAGAGACCUUCCUGCUGUUAUCGUGCCUGUGCACACCAGUGUCUGAGGCUUUUCUGGAUCAUUCUGUCAGUGCUUGUACCUCACUUGGUUUGCUCUGCUCCAGCUUGGGAGCAGGAAUCCUCUGGGAUUGCUGCUCUGAAAGGCUGCCCAGAGCUGGGCUCAGUCUCCCGUACCUGGCAGGCCGUGCUGUGGCAGCAGCCAGGACUAUUCCAUGAUGUCACUGAAGGCCAGGGCGCAGGCGGCUCGCUCCUCCCUGCCCUGGCCACCGUCCGACACGAAGCCCCGGUACUGCUUACUCGACUUGGUCAGCUUCUUCAGCUCACUGGUGAAGGAGAUGCCUCUUCUCUUGUCAUCCCGUGCUGCCUGGAAAGAUUAAAAAAGAUCAUAGAGGUGGUUUAACAGCUGCUUGUUCGCUGGGA